rnacentral:rRNA from 1 species
GGAGAGUUUGAUCAUGGCUCAGAGCGAACGCUGGCGGCACGCCUAACACAUGCAAGUCGAGCGAGAAAGUGACUUCGGUCGCGAGUAAAGCGGCGAACGGGUGAGUACAACGUGGAUAAUCUACCCUAAGGUCUGGGACAACCCCGAGAAAUCGGGGCUAAUACUGGAUAAGACCACAGUAUCUGAGGAUACAGGGGUAAAAGAUUUAUCGCCUUUGGAUGAGUCCACGCCCCAUCAGGUAGUUGGUAAGGUAAAGGCUUACCAAGCCUAAGACGGGUAGCCGGCCUUAGCGGGUGAACGGCCACAUGGGGACUGAGACACGGCCCUGACUCCUACGGGAGGCAGCAGUGGGGAAUAUUGGGCAAUGGGCGAAAGCCUGACCCAGCGAUGCCGCGUGAGGGAUGAAGGCCUUCGGGUUGUAAACCUCUGUCAGGAGGGACGAUGGGACUUUGUCUUGACGGUACCUCCAGAGGAAGCCCCGGCUAACUCCGUGCCAGCAGCCGCGGUAAUACGGAGGGGGCAAGCGUUGCUCGGAAUUACUGGGCGUAAAGGGUCCGCAGGCUGUCAGGCAAGUUGGUUGUGAAAUCCCAAGGCUUAACCUUGGAAUUGCAUCCAAAACUGCCUGACUAGAGUCCAAGAGAGGUUGGCGGAAUUCCCGGUGUAGCGGUGAAAUGCAUAGAUAUCGGGAGGAACACCAGAGGCGAAGGCGGCCAACUGGCUUGGUACUGACGCUCAGGGACGAAAGCGUGGGUAGCAAACAGGAUUAGAUACCCUGG